rnacentral:rRNA from 1 species
GUAGCCCGGAAGUGGGGGAAUACCUCGGGGAAACUCGAGCUAAUACCGCAUAACAUCUUUAGGACGAUGGUCCUGACGAUCAAAGCGGGGUCGCAAGAUCUCGCGCUACCGGAUGGGCCCGCGCCUGAUUAGCUAGUUGGUAGGGUAAUGGCCUACCAAGGCGACGAUCAGUAGCUGGUCUGAGAGGAUGAUCAGCCACACUGGGACUGAGACACGGCCCAG